GCGGGGGCGGCCCCGCGCAGGCGCCGCCCGGGCGGGCUGAGGGGAGCGGCGGGGAGGCGGCGGCGGAGCGGCGGUCGCUCCCUUCAGAGUCCCGCACCUAGUGGGGCUCCCUCACGAACCCUCGUUACAUCUCUUGUUCAGUCAUCUCAGGAGGCUGAGGCUGUUGCAUACAAUUACUUCUGUUGUGAUGCUGGAUGGGCAGUGGAAAUACAGGAUCAAGGAGAAUUCCAGCCAGAGGUCUUUCAGACCUCAGUCCCAGCCUGCAGUAGCUGAGAUGAAGAGCCUGGGCAAGGACUAAGAAGAUGCAGAAGCUUGUGUGGGACAUAUCUGAAGCUGACCAGUGCAGACUGGUGACUCCACUCUUCAGAAGCCACCCAACAGACCAGUGUGGACACAGCUAAUGACACAACUCAGAUCUGCUUCUAUCACCAGCCUCCAAAGCCCAAACAGCUGGUGCAGCUGCAGAGCACUGUGCCACAGAGCUCUGCUACCACCUGGGAGCCACUGGGCAUGUUCCACGGCCUUGGUUCUAUUUUAAAAGCAAGUAAAGCCUCAGCAGGGUUUGGUUUUCUCUCAUGUCAACAAGCCUCAGCCAACUCAGUUUUUGCAACACCUGACAAGUUAACGAAGACGAUGGGCGAGAGGCAUUAGAACCACAGGUUAUCCUGAGUUGGAAGUGACCCACAAGGAUCAUUGAAUCCAACUCCUGACCCUGCACAGGACAGCCCCAAGAAUCACACUAUGGGCCCGAGACAAUUGUCCAAACGCUUCUUGAACUCUUGUCAGGUUUGAUGCUAUGACCAUUUCCAUGGGGAGCCUGUUCCAGUGCUCAGUCACCCUCUGGGUGAAGAACCUUUUCCUAAUAUCCAACCUAAACCUCCCCUGACACAGAUCUGUGUGCAGCCAUUACACUGGUCUGGAGCAGAGGAGGAAGGCUCUGAAGGCUCAUGUUCAUCAAGUGACAUGGAACCAUACUGCACCAUCAAGAGUCAGAGCUGCAGUUGCAACCCUCUCAUCCUCCCCCAGGAGAAUGACCUUGUCAGAGCUGGCUCCAGCAGGCAAAACAAGUGGUAGUAAUGGAGGGAGACAUUAAUACAAAAUCCUUCUCCGGUGAAUUCAGUUGCAAAAUUCUCAUUACUUCAAGGGACUAAGAUGUCAUACAUUGCACUCAGCUAUGGGAGCAUUCUUAAAAUGAUUAGGAGAGGCUAAGCAUUUGCUUUCAAUAGCCCAUUAUGGGAUAAAUUAAUCCUAAAAAUCUGCUGGCUCCCAUCUCUUGCUGCAACUGCUUGCUUAAGCUAAUCUUCCAGCUUUACAUAAGUGAAGAUUGAAGAGGAUGGUAAAAAGCUGCUAAUAGCUAAGGAAGGAGGUUUUCUUUCUCUUCCUGGUUACAGUUCAGCUUAUUUUGUUACCUUAUUUAUCAUCUCUAAUGAUGUCUAAGCACACAUGGAAGUGGGGGACAUUUAGGAACAGCAAAUUGGUCCUUGCUCCAACCACCUCUGUGUACAUGGUUGCAGAGGUGAUAAUGUGUCCCAGAACGGGAAUUUAAUGGACUUGUCUGGUGGAAUAUUACUUUUUGGGAACAGAAAAAUGAGAACAAAAGGUUUCAUAUGGUUAAUUGCUUAAAUAAUGUGAAAAGUAGAUGAGUUUGAAAACAGGCUGAAUGAGAAAUUGUGCAGUCAAAAGAGUAAAUGACUCACUUUGCUUCUCUUACAUCAUAGUGAAAAGCUGCCAGGUAUGUGCUGCUAGAAAGUAACAGUAUAUUGAACUUUGCAGUGGCUGAUUAGAGGCAAACCCAGCUUUGUGGAACACAGCAUUUACUGUUGUAUUCUGAGUUCUUGCACACAAAGUGUUUGGUUGAGCAGAGAACAAAUUCAUAAUUAUCCUGUGCAGAUACUUAAUGUAUUUACCAUAUAAAGCAGACAUCUGUCUGGGAAAUGAAGGGUAAAAUAUCUUUCCACAUAAAUCACUGGGAAUUUUUCUUUCAACUUCAGUGAAGCAAUCCAAAGACAUUAGGAGAUGAAGAAAAUUAGCAUAAUCAGCUCAUGUUGUUUAAUCCCCCUAGUCCAACCCAGGAAUGUUCUCUAUGUGCUACUGGUUAACACUUUUAUCCCAGCCAGGUUUAGAUGACCUGUAAUUCUCUGCUCCACUGGCUGUUGUAACUGUCAGAGAGCUCACAAUGUGUAUCUUGUAUUUCAUGGAAGUUUGCAUGUAUUGCACACCAUAUAUUUUAAAAGUGUAGUUAUAUUAAGUGUAAUGGAGAAAGAGCACACGGAAAUAUGGGAGCUACAGAGGAAAAUGCUUUCAAAUCUGAUUCUUUUAUAUGGUAUAAUGCAUGUAUAUAUUUAAUUCCUUCCUUUAAAAGAGCUGUUAAGAUUUGAUAGUGACUGGAAUGAUGACCAGGAUGGGUGUCAGUGGUGGAUGACAGACUGCAGAAUACAACAGGAGAAGGAGGACUUGUAGUAGGAGAUUUUUCAGAAAACAAAGGAAUCUGUUGAAAGCUGUGGAGUUUCCAUUGGACAGCAUGAGCACUGAAGGCUCAGAACUACCACAGUUAUAUCUUCAAAUCAGGGCUGGAGUACACAGUCAGCAGCUCUGGAAAAGAAGGUGAACCUCUGCAGGAGGAGCCACAAUGUGUGUGUGUGGUGACUUAUGGAAGACAGACAUUUCUCCAUGUAGUGCCUGGAAAACAAAAGAACAACAACAGUGGAGGUGAAGGAUCAGGGAGGAGCGAUCUGAAGUGGUGCAUUUCCCAAAGGCCCCGACACAGAGGGAGUCUGAAGCCGAGAAAGCCAGACGGGAAUGCUGCCCUAAGCACGGUGCCUUGGGCAGGAGCUGGGCAGGGCCUGGCUGGCAACCUCAUGGAGCUGUCCACGUCUGCCUCCCCACAGAGAAAAGAGGCUGUGGCAGGUGUACAUCCCUUCUAGAGCAGCAGACAUGUCAAGGAGGGGGCUGCAGUCCUUAGACAUGUUCCUUGUCUGUCUCUUGUCUCCUUGCUAAGUGUGCUGGUCAGAGUUAGGAAAUGGGACAAAUAUACCAAUGAGAAUACAAUUUAUACUGUUAAUUAACUAAUACUGUUAGAACAAUUUGUUCUCUUAUCUCCCUUUUUUCCCCAGAAGGCAAAAGCCAAAGGCUAUUUCUACAGUUUUGAAGAAAAUUGUAAAGCCCCAUCCAACUUGGCCUUGAACACUUCAGGGAUGGGGCAUCCACAGCUUUUCUAGGCAACCUAUUCCAGUGCCUCGCCAUCCUCAUGGCUCUGUUCAGGUAAUGGAAGGCUGCAAUUAGGUCACCCCAAAGGCUUCUCUUCUCUAGGAUGAAGAAUCCCAAUUCUCUCAUCUUUUCCUCAUAGCAGAGGUGCUCCAUCCCUCUAAUCACCUUGGUGGCCUCCUCUGGACUCG